CUACGUGCCAGCAGCCGCGGUAAUACGUAGGUGGCGAGCGUUGUCCGGAAUUAUUGGGCGUAAAGGAUGCGUAGGUGGAUUUUUAAGUGGGAUGUGAAAUCCCUGGGCUCAACCCGGGAACUGCAUUCCAUACUGGAUAUCUAGAGUGCAGGAGAGGAAAAUGGAAUUCCCAGUGUAGCGGUGAAAUGCGUAGAUAUUGGGAGGAACACCAGUGGCGAAGGCGAUUUUCUGGACCGUAACUGACGCUGAGGCAUGAAAGCGUGGGGAGCAAACAGGAUUAGAUACCCUGGUAGUCCACGCCGUAAACGAUGAGUACUAGGUGUAGG
rnacentral:rRNA from 1 species